UGCCCGAGACAUAUCUCCCUGCUGUUCUCACCUGGUUUCCCACUGAAGCCAAGCAGGGUUGAGCCUGGCCAGUACCUGUAUGCGAGACCGCCGUGGGAAAAUCAAGGUUGCUGCGGUAU
rnacentral:rRNA from 1 species